rnacentral:rRNA from 1 species
GAUGAACGCUGGCGGCGUGCCUAAUACAUGCAAGUCGAGCGAACGGACGAGAAGCUUGCUUUUCUGAUGUUAGCGGCGGACGGGUGAGUAACACGUGGAUAACCUACCUAUAAGACUGGGAUAACUUCGGGAAACCGGAGCUAAUACCGGAUAAUAUUUUGAACCGCAUGGUUCAAAAGUGAAAGACGGUCUUGCUGUCACUUAUAGAUGGAUCCGCGCUGCAUUAGCUAGUUGGUAAGGUAACGGCUUACCAAGGCAACGAUGCAUAGCCGACCUGAGAGGGUGAUCGGCCACACUGGAACUGAGACACGGUCCAGACUCCUACGGGAGGCAGCAGUAGGGAAUCUUCCGCAAUGGGCGAAAGCCUAACGGAGCAACGCCGCGUGAGUGAUGAAGGUCUUCGGAUCUUAAAACUCUGUUAUUAGGGAAGAACAUAUGUGUAAGUAACUGUGCACAUCUUGACGGUACCUAAUCAGAAAGCCACGGCUAACUACGUG